rnacentral:rRNA from 1 species
GACGAACGCUGGCGGCGUGCCUAAUACACGCAAGUCGAGCGAACUUGCGGGAGCUUGCUCCCAAGAGUUAGCGGCGGACGGGUGAGUAACACGUGGGCAACCUGCCUAUAAGACUGGGAUAACUUCGGGAAACCGGAGCUAAUACCGGAUAAUUCUUUUCUACUCAUGUAGGGAAGCUGAAAGAUGGUUUCGGCUAUCACUUAUUGAUGGGCCCGCGGCGCAUUAGCUAGUUGGUGAGGUAACGGCUCACCAAGGCGACGAUGCGUAGCCGACCUGAGAGGGUGAUCGGCCACACUGGGACUGAGACACGGCCCAGACUCCUACGGGAGGCAGCAGUAGGGAAUCUUCCGCAAUGGACGAAAGUCUGACGGAGCAACGCCGCGUGAGUGAUGAAGGUUUUCGGAUCGUAAAACUCUGUUGUUAGGGAAGAACAAGUACUAGAGUAACUGCUAGUACCUUGACGGUACCUAACCAGAAAGCCACGGCUAACUACGUGCCAGCAGCCGCGGUAAAAC